GUGGAUUAGAUACCCUGGUAGUCCCCGCCCUAAACGAUGAAUACUCGAUGUUAGCGAUAUACAGUUAGCGUCAAAGCGAAAGCGUUAAGUAUUCCACCUGGGGAGUACGCCCGCAAGGGUGAAACUCAAAGGAAUUGACGGGGGCCCGCACAAGCGGAGGAGCAUGUGGUUUAAUUCGAUGAUACGCGAGGAACCUUACCCGGGCUUGAAAGUUACUGAAUGAUCUAGAGAUAGAUCAGUCCGCAAGGACAGGAAACUAGGUGCUGCAUGGCCGUCGACAACU
rnacentral:rRNA from 1 species